CCUACGGGAGGCAGCAGUAAGGAAUAUUGGUCAAUGGACGCAAGUCUGAACCAGCCAUGCCGCGUGAAGGAUGAAGGCCCUCUGGGUUGUAAACUUCUUUUAUAGGGGACGAAAAAAGGGAAUUCUUUCCCACUUGACGGUACCCUAGGAAUAAGCACCGGCUAACUCCGUGCCAGCAGCCGCGGUAAUACGGAGGGUGCAAGCGUUAUCCGGAUUCACUGGGUUUAAAGGGUGCGUAGGUGGGCAUUUAAGUCAGUGGUGAAAUCUCCGGGCUUAACCCGGAAACUGCCAUUGAUACUAUUUGUCUUGAAUAUUGUGGAGGUAAGCGGAAUAUGUCAUGUAGCGGUGAAAUGCUUAGAUAUGACAUAGAACACCCAUUGCGAAGGCAGCUUACUACGCAAAUAUUGACACUGAGGCACGAAAGCGUGGGGAUCAAACAGGAUUAGAUACCCUGGUAGUCCACGCCCUAAACGAUGGAUACUCGACAUCAGCGAUACACAGUUGGUGUCUGAGCGAAAGCAUUAAGUAUCCCACCUGGAAGUACGGCCGCAAGUUGAAACUCAAAAUGAAUAGUAGCGUGAGAGNGCGACGACGACACGAGGAGGAGG
rnacentral:rRNA from 1 species